rnacentral:rRNA from 1 species
CCUACGGGUGGCAGCAGUGAGGAAUAUUGGUCAAUGGGCGGAAUCCUGAACCAGCCAAGCCGCGUGAAGGACGACGGCUCUACGAGUUGUAAACUGCUUUUGUAACGGGGUAAAAUGCGCCACGUGGAGGGUUUUGAAAGUACGGUACGAAUAAGGAUCGGCUAACUCCGUGCCAGCAGCCGCGGUAAUACGGAGGAUCCGAGCGUUCUCCGGAUUUAUUGGGUUUAAAGGGAGCGUAGGUUGUUUUAUAAGUUAGCGGUGAAAUACCGAGGCUCAACUGCGGGGCGGCCGCUGAUACUGUAGGACUAGAGAUCGGUUGCAGCAGGCGGAAUGUGUAGUGUAGCGGUGAAAUGCAUAGAUAUUACGCAGAACUCCGAUUGCGAAGGCAGCUUGCUAGGCCGGAUCUGACACUGAUGCACGAAAGCGUGGGGAUCGAACAGGAUUAGAUACCCUAGUAGUC